CGACUCUGGUUUCUCUUCAUUACGCACAGCCUUUCGCCUUUUACUAACGACUUCCGUGGAGGAGAACACUUAUGAUUCCAGUAUUUUUGGAAGGGCUUUGCUUCUGGCAGAGCC